GUGCUCACUUUGGCAGCACAUAUACUAAAAUUGGAACGAUACAGAGAAGAUUAGCACAGCCCCUGCGCAAGGAUGACACACAAAUUCGUGAAGCGUUCCAUAUUUUU
rnacentral:snRNA from 1 species